rnacentral:rRNA from 1 species
UACGUAGGGGGCAAGCGUUGUCCGGAAUCAUUGGGCGUAAAGCGCGUGUAGGCGGCUGAGUAAGUCUGCUCUGAAAGCCCGGGGCUCAACCCCGGGAGGCGGGUGGAUACUGCUCAGCUCGAGUCCGGAAGAGGAGUGUGGAAUUCCCGGUGUAGCGGUGAAAUGCGCAGAUAUCGGGAAGAACACCCGUGGCGAAGGCGGCUCUCUGGGACGGUACUGACGCUGAGACGCGAAAGCGUGGGGAGCGAACAGG